AUUGAACGCUGGCGGAAUGCUUUACACAUGCAAGUCGAACGGCAGCACGGACUUCGGUCUGGUGGCGAGUGGCGAACGGGUGAGUAGUGUAUCGGAACGUGCCCAGUCGUGGGGGAUAACGUAGUGAAAAUUACGCUAAUACCGCAUACGAUCUAUGGAUGAAAGCGGGGGAUCGCAAGACCUCGCGCGAUUGGAGCGGCCGAGAUCAGAUUAGGUAGUUGGUGGGGUAAAGGCCCACCAAGCCAACGAUCUGUAGCUGGUCUGAGAGGACGACCAGCCACGCUGGAACUGAGACACGGUCCAGACUCCUACGGGAGGCAGCAGUGGGGAAUUUUGGACAAUGGGCGAAAGCCUGAUCCAGCCAUUCCGCGUGCAGGAUGAAGGCCCUCGGGUUGUAAACUGCUUUUGUACAGAACGAAAAGGUUUCUACUAAUACUAGGAGCUCAUGACGGUACUGUAAGAAUAAGCACCGGCUAACUACGUGCCAGCCGCCGCUGUAA
rnacentral:rRNA from 1 species